UGCUACACAACAUAGAAAGAAAUUCUGC
rnacentral:piRNA from 1 species